ACGGUAACAGAAAAAGCUUGCUUUUUGCUGACGAGUGGCGAACGGGUGCGUAACGCGUAUGCAACCUACCUUUUUCUAAGGAAUAGCCCAGAGAAAUUUGGAUUAAUACCUUAUAAUAAUAUUCAUUCGCAUGUUUGAAUAUUUAAAGCUUUUGCGGAAAAAGAUGGGCAUGCGUGACAUUAGUUUGUUGGUGAGGUAACGGCUCACCAAGACUACGAUGUCUAGGGGUUCUGAGAGGAUGAUCCCCCACACUGGUACUGAGACACGGACCAGACUCCUACGGGAGGCAGCAGUGAGGAAUAUUGGUCAAUGGACGAAAGUCUGAACCAGCCAUGCCGCGUGAAGGAUGACGGCCCUACGGGUUGUAAACUUCUUUUGUAUAGGAAGAAACCUCCCUACGUGUAGGGAGCUGACGGUACUAUACGAAUAAGCACCGGCUAACCCCGUGCCAGCAGCCGCGGUAAUACGGAGGGUGCAAGCGUUAUCCGGAAUUAUUGGGUUUAAAGGGUGCGUAGGCGGAAGUUUAAGUCAGUGGUGAAAGCCUGCAGCUCAACUGUAGAAUUGCCAUUGAUACUGAAUUUCUUGAAUCUAAUUGAAGUGGGCGGAAUAUGACAUGUAGCGGUGAAAUGCUUAGAUAUGUCAUAGAACACCGGUAGCGAAGGCAGCUCACUAAGUUAGUAUUGACGCUCAUGCACGAAAGCGUGGGGAGCGAACAGGAUUAGAUACCCUGGUAGUCCACGCUGUAAACGAUGAUUACUCGCUAUUGGCGAUACACUGUCAGUGGCUAAGCGAAAGUGAUAAGUAAUCCACCUGGGGAGUACGAUCGCAAGGUUGAAACUCAAAGGAAUUGACGGGGGCCCGCACAAGCGGUGGAGCAUGUGGUUUAAUUUCGAUGAUACGCGAGGAACCUUACCAGGACUUAAAUGCAUAACGAUCGGUUGAGAAAUCAACUUUUCUUCG
rnacentral:rRNA from 1 species